rnacentral:lncRNA from 1 species
GAAAUAAAAUCAAAUCCCUUCCUAUUUUCCCGUUAAAUCACUAUCAUCCCAAACCCACUAUCGAAUAAACUGCAAAACCUCCCAGAACAACUUCCCGGUACGGCCGAUUGAAAGGGGAAGACGUCUGCACUGCCGUGAAACGACGAUUUUCGUGCACUCCGAGCAAGCUGUCGUAGGUACAUCGUCGCCACUCGCUGAAUCGCUAUCAUCCAUCGAUUUGUUGAUAUGUUUUGGCUAAAUCGACUAUCACGUUUGUGUAAUUGUAGAUCUGUUAUAAUCGCAUACCGAAUUCGAGCACUAAAUCAGUGAUAUUGCAACAAUUGAUGGGCAGGACAUCCACCAGAAGUGAUAUCGUC